rnacentral:lncRNA from 1 species
GUGCCUCAGAGGCUCUCUGCGAAGAGGAACAUGACCAUCUGCCUGAGGCCUACAUGGUAAAAGUCUUGUGCCACUAAUUAGUGGACACUGCCCAGGUGAAGCACGGAUGGCAUGUCACAAUGGAAUUCUACGUCAGUGAUCGUGUCACAGUGCCGAAGCAGGAGUAGCCCUCCCAGUGUUCAGGAGUUCCAGUGACAGCCUAUGUCCCCAAACCCAAAGCAAAGAUCCUCACCACCUACAGCUGGCUGAACCCUGGGAACUCCCUUGAGGGUCAUGUUUUGAUAACACUGGAGAAAAGUAAUUUUCCUAUUUUUAAGUCCCUGUUCCAUACAGUGAAAAGGCAAGGGGUACAUCCUCAGGAGAAGGAACAUCAGAAGUUCCAGUUAAGAGCAGCAAGUAAAUAUGUGCCAGAAAGACUCAGUUGUCCGGAUCAGUGUGACCUGAGAAAAUAGAACCUCCUCCUCC